GAUGAACGCUGGCGGCGUGCCUAAUACAUGCAAGUCGAGCGAACGGACGAGAAGCUUGCUUUUCUGAUGUUAGCGGCGGACGGGUGAGUAACACGUGGAUAACCUACCUAUAAGACUGGGAUAACUUCGGGAAACCGGAGCUAAUACCGGAUAAUAUUUUGAACCGCAUGGUUCAAAAGUGAAAGACGGUCUUGCUGUCACUUAUAGAUGGAUCCGCGCUGCAUUAGCUAGUUGGUAAGGUAACGGCUUACCAAGGCAACGAUGCAUAGCCGACCUGAGAGGGUGAUCGGCCACACUGGAACUGAGACACGGUCCAGACUCCUACGGGAGGCAGCAGUAGGGAAUCUUCCGCAAUGGGCGAAAGCCUGACGGAGCAUCGCCGCGUGAGUGAUGAAGGUCUUCGGAUCGUAAAACUCUGUUAUUAGGGAAGAACAUAUGUGUAAGUAACUGUGCACAUCUUGACGGUACCUAAUCAGAAAGCCACGGCUAACUACGUG
rnacentral:rRNA from 1 species